GUUUCAUUGAUAUUGACGGUGCUACAGUCGUUAGCGAUCCGUUAUCCUCGCAAGAAUUUGCCCGGUAGCGUAUAAGCAAAAACACAAAAUCUAUCCAUGCAAGCAUUUACCGCUGGUGAACCGGUCGGUUUUUUUUUGCCUGCCAUCCAGACAAAAGCGGC
rnacentral:ncRNA from 1 species